CGGGCUCGAGGCGGCGGGUAGAGGAUUUCUGUCAUUCGGCCCGUAUAUUUACACAAAAUAUUCAACUGUACGAAUGACCAUCCACAUUGCAUUCGUUAUUCAGCUAACAUCGGCGAUCCUCUGUGGGGGUGGGGUGAGUGAGGGCUGCUGUGAGGAUCCCACACUGUGGGGCAGCCACACACUGAAUGGUGUCUCCCACAAUGAAGGCGUUGGUGGAUGCAGUCUGGGCGGUGUGGAGCAUCGGGGCCUCAAUCUAUGACUACAUCCACACCAGUGCCAUGGAAGAGCGCAUUCACUCACUGGAGAGUGCUUUAACCAUCCACCAGUGUGUCAUUGGCCUGCUCUCUGCUGGACUUGUGGCCCUCUUCACCUACAUUCUGUUAAGGAAGCACUGACCCAGGAUUUCAGCCUUUUUUUUUUGUAUGCAAGACUACAUCGGUGACAUCAGAGGGAAUUCUGGAACCAUGUUGAUGCCAAGCUUUGUUCAAUUCAUUUUAAAGGGAUUUUAACAUGUCUGACUUUUACCUAAUUGAUUAUUUACUAAACUUUAUUAGUUUCUAAUUCUGUUAAAAUUUCACUACUGUAUUAUCUGGGUUGAUGUGAUUCAUAGUAAUCUGGUAAACCAAAAUAAGCGUAUCUCUAAAUUAAAAGUAGUCUUCCACCAUGUCUUAUAAUGGACUUUUAAGGUCACUGAUGGCUACCACAGAGGAAAGAUUCAGAGAUGCAACCUGUCCACGGUUCUUUACACAAAGCUUGGUGACAGCUGAACAAACACAAAACAACUACUGGAUCAGCAGGCUUUUCAGCCUGUUUGCUGCUAUCAUCAGUGGAGUCAGCUUGUGUGUCUUGGUUACUUUUAACAAAACAUUCAACUUGGCAAUGACUAAGCAUAAUGUAAUUUAUUUAUUAUGUUAACCUAUGACAUCUCAGCUUAUUUCUUAACAUUAUGGUUAAUGAGAGGCAUCAAUGACUUGAUUAAAUUCUUGAUUUUACAACUUGAUUGAGAACUUAAAGUGGCCUUAAUCACUAAAGGUAUCUGAUGUAGUCAACUUGACAAUGUUAUCAGUGUAUUAACUACUACUAUAUGUAGAUGGGUUUUUAAUUUGGUUUCAUGUUAAAGUUCAUCGGUUAAUGCACCAUUGUGUUUUAUAGGUUAUCAUUUUUACUUUUACCAUGUUUCCUCAGAAACGUUUUCUCCUGGGGCAAAAAAACUACCAUUAAAAUGUUACACCUGUUCUGUCAGCAAAACGAAUGUCUAUCUUUAUAAUGCAAAAGAAAAGUCAGAGUAUUUUGACUUUGAAUUGAUGCUAUGCUACCUACUAAAGCAUUUCUCCAUUGUACUACGUUUGAAUUGAACUUUUGUUUUAUUUGGUGUGCUGUUCUAAGUGAGGAUCUCUUAAAAUUCAAUGUAAAGCAUUUCUUUAACAAAGACAAUGUCAUAAAAUGUUUAUUACUGGAACAACAGAACAGUGCAAAUGUCUACGCACCAGCAUGUUUGAAAAACUUCAGAAGGAUCGGGAAAUUGGGCUUUUCAAAGCGAAAUCACUGAAGCCAGUUUGUGGUCCAAAUAU